UUCUUAUUAGCUUAAGGGUAGAGCAAGAUACUUCUAAUAUCAAGAUUUUAGUUCGAAUCUAGAAUAAGAAU
rnacentral:tRNA from 1 species